rnacentral:rRNA from 1 species
CAAGGGUGAAACUCAAAAGAAUUGACGGGGGCCCGCACAAGCAGUGGAGCAUGUGGUUUAAUUCGAUGCAACGCGAAGAACCUUACCCAGACUUGACAUAUAAUAGACGUUAGCAGAAAUGAUAACUCCCGCAAGGGCUGUUAUACAGGUGCUGCAUGGCUGUCGUCAGCUCGUGCCGUGAGGUGUUGGGUUAAGUCCCGCAACGAGCGCAACCCUUGUCAUUAGUUGCCAGCACGUAAUGGUGGGAACUCUAAUGAGACUGCCUAGGUUAACUAGGAGGAAGGUGAGGAUGACGUCAAGUCCGCAUGGCCCUUAUGUCUGGGGCUACACACGUGCUACAAUGGUCGGUACAAUAGGCAGCUAAGCCGAAAGGUGGAGCAAAUCCAAAAAGCCGACCCCAGUUCAGAUUGUAGUCUGCAACUCGACUACAUGAAGCCGGAAUUGCUAGUAAUGGCGUGUCAGCAACAACGCCGUGAAUACGUUCUCGGGCCUUGUACACACCGCCCGUCACAUCAUGGGAGUUGGUUUUACCCGAAGUCACUGACUCAACCGCAAGGAGAGAGGUGCCUAAGGUAAGGCUGAUGACUGGGAUGAAGUCGUAACAAGGUAGCCCUAUCGGAAGGUGGGGCUGGAUCACCUCCUUUAA